GCCCUGAAAAAACCAGUGCUGCUUAUGCUAGCCCACAACCGCGAACUGUGUCCUGGAUUAUGCUCAGCAUAUCUGAUACAGUCAACUCUCCAUAAAGUAUCGAGUUAGAAUGAUAAAUGGAGCUUAUCUAACUAAACUAAGGUCUUUCUAACUCCAGGAAGAUGCUUAGUGGAUGCAGCUCAAGCUCUAACUAUUUUCUAGACUAUAGUAUCUGUCCCCACCACAACAGACGAUUAAACAAAGAAUGUAAUUGAGUUCAAUCGCCAAAAGGAGUACAAAA